UAAUAUCUAUUGUCUAUCAACAAAGUUUGAAAUAGCUAUAUUGUCAGUUACUACAGCGAUAGCAGUGCUGGCAAAUCACAUUUUUAACUCAGAAAAGUUAGCAUUCCUUUCCAACUGGCAUGUGGUUUUAACGUUGACCCUAACAGUAUUUUGUUUCAGGCUUAAAACUAAAUGCAGUGCCGCUAUUGUAAAUUUACACAUCUGCAGCAAGACAUCCUGCUUACUGUAAGCACUACAGGCUUCAUCAUUGGCAAGCAGACCACAGAUCUAACUACUUAUAGACGGUCUGCUGUUCUUCAUGGUCUUCCCCUGUACUUAAGAGAGCCAUCUGCAAUUUCAAAGACUAUUAAGGAUACUGACUGAAGCACUGGGGCCACACACAAAAGCCAUGAACAUGGGGAUCCUGGAAGUACUGACAGUUCUACCAACUCAGGACCAUAUCCCACAGUGGUCAAUGUGGCUGUAGUACUGGAGGAGGAAGUUGUCAUGGACAAUCUGGGAGACUUCCCAAAUGCCCUCAUGAUGCUCUUUGGUCUGCUUUAUGCUCUAAAUAUGGAGUACCCUAAGGACUUAAGGUACACAUUCGAGGCAGUCCAGACGAUUCUCUUAAACCUGGGGAAAAGUGCACAGCAAGGAUACAGUCCUUGAAGAAAGAGUUAUUACAGGUGUAAUGGUCAUUACAGUACAUGUUAAUUGCCAGUCAUUGAGGUAUUUUGAGGUAUCAAAGGUUUCAUGCAAAUGUUUCUGUUAAAUGGCAGUGACUUUUUUUGUUUGAUUUUUGUAACUGUUCUGGAACAUGUCACAAAUCAUUUUGAACCAAUUUUACAUCAGAUGUUCACAGGCAAAGCUGUCAUGUUUUACUUUUGUUUCAUUUUGUAAAGCAGAUAUUUGUUUUUCCAGUACAUCUAUUGAGUGACAUGCCAUGCUUUCUUGAACUCUCAGAUCUUGUUUCUAGGACACUGGUUGAAUACUUGUGUAAUAUUGCACUUGAGCCUUACAGACGAGUUCAUAUGGAUUUAAAUAAAUAAAUAAAAUGUACUUUA